rnacentral:rRNA from 1 species
UACAGGGGGUGCAAACGUUGCUCGGAAUCAUUGGGCGUAAAGCGCACGUAGGCGGUUCGUUAUGUCGGAUGUGAAAGCCCUUGGCUUAACCGAGGAAGUGCAUCCGAAACUGGCGAGCUAGAGUACUAAAGAGGAUCGCGGAAUUCCCGGUGUAGAGGUGAAAUUCGUAGAUAUCGGGAGGAACACCAGUGGCGAAGGCGGCUGAU